CACCAGACUCCUACGGGAGGCAGCAGUCGGGAAUAUUGCGCAAUGGAGGAAACUCUGACGCAGUGACGCCGCGUAUAGGAAGAAGGUUUUCGGAUUGUAAACUAUUGUCGUGAGGGAAGAAGAUGACAGUACCUCAGGAGGAAGCUCCGGCUAACUAUGUGCCAGCAGCCGCGGUAAUACAUAGGGAGCAAGCGUUAUCCGGAAUUAUUGGGUGUAAAGGGUGCGUAGACGGGAAAUUAAGUUAGUUGUGAAAUCCCUUGGCUUAACUGAGGAACUGCAACUAAAACUGAUUUUCUUGAGUACUGGAGAGGAAAGUGGAAUUCCUAGUGUAGCGGUGAAAUGCGUAGAUAUUAGGAGGAACACCAGUGGCGAAGGCGACUUUCUGGGCCACGACUGACGCUGAGGCGCGAAAGCUAGGGGAGCGAACAGGAUUAGAUACCCCAGUA
rnacentral:rRNA from 1 species